rnacentral:rRNA from 1 species
AACGUAGGUGGCGAGCGUUAUCCGGAUUUACUGGGCGUAAAGGGUGUGCAGGCUGCCCCUCAAGUGGUGUAUGAAAGGGCUCGGCUCAACCGGGCUAGGUUAUGCCAGACUGAGGGGCUAGAGAGCGAGAGCGGGACGUGGAAUUCCGGGUGUAGUGGUGAAAUGCGUAGAGAUCCGGAGGAACCCCAGAGGCGAAGGCGGCGUCCUGACUCGCAUCUGACGCUCAGACACGACAGCAUGGGGAGCGAACGGG